GACGAACGCUGGCGGCGUGCCUAAUACAUGCAAGUCGAACGCUGAAGGAGGAGCUUGCUCUUCUGGAUGAGUUGCGAACGGGUGAGUAACGCGUAGGUAACCUGCCUGGUAGCGGGGGAUAACUAUUGGAAACGAUAGCUAAUACCGCAUAAGAGUAGAUGUUGCAUGACAUUUGCUUAAAAGGUGCAAUUGCAUCACUACCAGAUGGACCUGCGUUGUAUUAGCUAGUUGGUGGGGUAACGGCUCACCAAGGCGACGAUACAUAGCCGACCUGAGAAGGUGAUCGGCCACACUGGGACUGAGACACGGCCCAGACUCCUUCGGGAGGCAGCAGGAGGGAAUCUUCGGCAAUGGACGGAAGUCUGACCGAGCAACGCCGCGUGAGUGAAGAAGGGUUUCGGAUCGUAAAGCUCUGUUGUAAGAGAAGAACGAGUGUGAGAGUGGAAAGUCCACACUGUGACGGUAUCUUACCAGAAAGGGACGGCUAACUACGUG
rnacentral:rRNA from 1 species